rnacentral:miRNA from 8 species
AGCCUCUUUACGGUGCUGCCUUGU